ACCAGGGAACGUGACAGAAGAGGACGAUCAAUGUUGUCAUGAUGCUGAUAAUCUCAUUCAGGCAUAAAACGUCCUAGAAAAGAGAACAGCUUAUGGGAGUAUUGACGUCAAUUGUAUCAACCUACCAUGGCCCCCAGUGAGGUCUGGCAACUCACUGUGGAGUGGGACGAAACUAGGUAUUCCAUAGCAAAGUAGCUUCUCAAGAGUUGUUACUUAGAAAAAAAAAGCACCGACUAUGGAAAAAUCCAAGGGGACUUGAGUAUGGUUUGUGUGUUGAAUAAGCAGGUGAAGGAACGCAGUCCUCUGGUAACAUGGUUCUUUUGAAGACCCUGAUCUGGAGUUGCAUGCUGACUUCAGUUCUUUGCAGGAAUGGGACCAGCUCUCGGGUUAUCAUGACUGGCUGUUAUUUGAUAUACAAGGACUUGGCCUAGAAGACUAGUGCGCCAUCAGGGUUCCAGGAUCUCGUGGUUCUGGAGGCAGGAGGAUUCGAGGCUGGUGCUGCUGCCUGAUGUGUCAUGGGAGUACACAGAAGAUCGAAAGCAGCCAGCUGGCUGCUGGCUGUGCGCCCAGAGAUCCGAGUUCUUUAGGAACAGAGCUCGGAAAAAGCAACACAACAGUCUUUUAGCACCAUAAAUCAGCGAGUUGUUUAUUGUGUCUCCCCUCUCGCUGUGAAACGGGGACAUCUCUUUUUCCCUUAUUAGGGAGAGAGAGAGCCUGUAGUAUGUCGAAUUUUCAGGUGAACAAAUAGACUUUGGGAUACUGUAAGUCUGUGUCUUUAUUGGUGUUUUGCUGCACACUUGAGCGCUCGGUGUGGGGUGCCGAUGCUUUUUUUGCCGUUGGGGAGGGGGGUCAUCGCUUGGCUGCUUCCUGUGGAUGGGAGGGAGAAACUGUCGGGCUUUGGGGUUCUAACGUUUAACUGUCAUUCAUUCUUUGGGCACUCCUCUGUUCUUGCGGAUAGUUGCAAAGAGGAAGUAUUUCAGUAUGUAUAUUGUAUACAUUUCUCUAACAUUAAAUGUACCUUUGAAACCCACCACCACUACCACAGGACCAUUGCAUGGCAGACCACUACCCCAGCCACCCAUGCCCACCUACAGUUACAGAAAGAAAUGAAGACAUGACUCACAUAACCUCAGGAUGUGCCAAACAGCUAAGACCUUUUGAAGCGCAGUAAGUAUUUCAAUUCAAAGCUAUGAAAAACUCAUCUCGCUCUAUCACCAGCACAACCCCCCACCAUCAAGGACAUCUUCGAGUCGGUGCCUCAAGAAGAAGGCAUUGUUACUAAAGACCCUCAACAUCCAGGACCUUACUCUUCUUGUUACCAUCAUCAGGGAGGAGGCAUAAGAGCCCGAGGACCCACACUCAGUGAUCUCCCUCACACCUUCAAAUUUCUGAGCAUUCCACGCUGUUGCUUUCCCUUGGUUUUAUAAUUUAUAGUGAUUUUGUUUCUUUGUACUGCAAAGUAACAAACAACGUGCCAUACAGACAGUGAUAAUAAUCCAAAUUCUGAUUUCACUGGUGCUGCAGUUCUUGAAUUUGCUGCAGACUUCAAAAAUGUUGUUCACCUUCACUGGAACAUUUGCUUGAAUUCAUCUAAUCAGACUUCUGUUUCUACUGCAGGAAUUAAAUAGGUCUUCCUACUGCUGCCCCCCUCACUGGACCCUCUGCAGUUUAUGUACUGUCCCAACCGCUCAACAGAUGACACCAUUGCCACCACCCUCCACCUGGCCCUAACCCACCUGGACAAAAAAGGCACAUACAUUCGGAUGCUGUUCAUAGACUUCAGUUCAGCACUCAACACAAUCAUC